AUGUUUUAUGAAUUUGUACGACGGCUCAAUGACUUUGUAUCACUGUGGUACACGUUCGGUGGAGGAACCAGACUGGAUAUUGGAAGUGAUGUCCGUCCCACCCUGACGGUGCUGCCCCCCUCCCACGAGGAGCUGAAGCAGGGGAAGGCCACGCUCAUGUGCCUGGCCAACAAGGGCUUCCCCUCAGGCUGGAGUCUGGCCUGGAAGGUGGACGGCAGCAGCAGCAGCUUGGAUCAGAGCAGGAGCCCCGGGGUGCUGGGGAAGGACGGCACCUACAGCUGGAGCAGCACCCUGAGGCUCACUGCAGACCAGUGGACGAAGGCGGGCUCUGUGACCUGUGAGGCCACCCAGGGCUCCCAGACUCCGGUCUCAGAGACACUGAGGACAGACCAGUGUUCCCAGUCCUGACCUGACUCUCUGAGACUGUGCUACUGGUUUUACUCUGCUCCUGCUCUCAGUCUGCUCUCUGUAACUGUCUCUCUCUCUCUCUCUUUAUGAGUCUCUCAGAUGUGUUUGCUCGUUCUUUGUCAUUUGUCAUUUCGAUAUUUCCAGAUAAUAAAGAUCAGUUCAUCCAAUA